GAAACUUAAAUAAUUAAGCCGCUAACUUAAUUUAUAGUGCACUUGCAUUAAAGUUUCU
rnacentral:tRNA from 1 species